ACUCCUACGGGAGGCUGCAGUUAGGAAUCUUGCGCAAUGGGCGAAAGCCUGACGCAGCAACGCCGCGUGGGGGAUGAAGGCCUUCGGGUUGUAAACCCCUUUCAGUGGGGACGAAGAUGACGGUACCCACAGAAGAAGCCCCGGCCAACUACGUGCCAGCAGCCGCGGUAACACGUAGGGGGCAAGCGUUGUCCGGAUUUAUUGGGCGUAAAGGGCUCGUAGGCGGUUCGACAAGUCGGGUGUGAAACCUCCAGGCUUAACCUGGAGUCGCCACUCGAAACUGUUGUGACUUGAGUCCGGUAGGGGAGCAUGGAAUUCCUGGUGUAGCGGUGGAAUGCGCAGAUAUCAGGAGGAACACCAGUGGCGAAGGCGAUGCUCUGGG
rnacentral:rRNA from 1 species